rnacentral:lncRNA from 1 species
GGGCCUACCUGGGCAAUGGUUCUCUGUCUAGCUUUGGCAAUGUCAUUGAGCACCUCACAUUCCAUGACUUGGCUACUACCCCAAAUUGUUCCAUUGGCACCCAAGGGAGAGUAAGCAGUGACAUGAAUAUCAUUUCUCUCACAAAACUCUCUUAGCUUCUUCUGCUGCCAAAGUGGGUUCAUCUCAACCUUGCCAAAACACAAGCACCACCACCACAACAAUAAUAAACACUUAAGAAUUUUGUUAAUCUAGGAAUUUGGGGUGUACAUGCACAACUUGGUGUUGCCCCCUGUAAUAUAAAGUAUACCACCACCAAGUUCUUUGAAAUUACACGAUUACCCCUACCAGUAUUUAUUGGGUAACGAAUUUGAUAAGAAAUAUUAAAUAAAUAUUUUACCCUUAUACAACCAUUAAUUUCUUCUUUUAUAAGGUUCGAGGUGUCCAUCUUGGGGUGUUCCGUAUAGACAUUUGAAUUGCCUAAAGGGGAACCUUUGAGGGGCAGCGAAGGAGACUAGUUUACGUCGUCAGUUAUAUAGGAUUUCUCUAUUAAAUGGUCGGAUACCCAGGAAGACAAAGAGUGUUCUAAGGCUCCGUCUCCUAAGUUGAUCUUAAUGAGCAUACACUAAAGAGUGCGCGAAAGUAAAGACAUGUGAUUGAAUACUUACUGAGAAAAUGGAAGGGAUGGCGAGCUGUAUAACGAGGUGCAUGUUGGAAUUGGAGUAGCAAUUCGACAGUAAACAGGAAAAAGUGUAAAUGAAUAGGAUGACCCCCUAUAUAUACAUAGAGCCAAUAACUGAGAUCUAUCUACCCCAACGGCUAAGAUCUUGCGAUGUUUUGAGUUCUGAGAUGAAAAUUGUCACUCCCUCCAUAAAUCAUCUUUCUCGCCGAAUACUUUAUUCCGCGAUUAAUGCCCACAUCCACGUGGCCUCGUGAUAAUAGCACCUUCAUUAAUUGUCCUCGUCAUGUGGCACGUCUUGUUGAAACAUCAUCAUGGCGUAUCCACGUCAGCACCGAGCAGUCACUUUCGCUAAUACUCAGUGUUUCACCCCAGCGCUCUGAGUUGAAGGAGACUACCAAUGGGAAAAACAACUAGCAAUAUUAUGUUAGAGACCGCCCUGACAACCAUAUCGCCAAUGCCAAAGACUUACUCGAAGAUAUCAAGUGUUCCACCUCGGCAUCUCGAGUAGAGGGCUACUGAUAUGGGAAAAAUAUCAGACUAAAUGGUAUGGAACCUCGCCCAAUCACCACCACAUACCACCAGCACCAUUGAGCUCACCCAGAGUGUUGUCAUCAUAGGGAUCUCCAAUUGGCUCGGGGUAUGCUACUUUUUCCAUCCCGCCUUUGGGCGAAGUAAAUAACUUAGCCUAGUUAGAAUGUCUCAAGGAUUCAACAUUCACUAGAAUCCUAUCUAUACAUGAAAACUACCCAUUGUGUGAUUCUCUCCUCCACAACACCUAUGAUUGCGGGAUAUUCUCCAGAUGGCUCCCUCUUGGAAUAAAUCUCAUAUGCCUCCAGGAUAUACUUCCAUACUCAACCGUCCAAAGAUCUCAGUGUGAUCUCACACAGUUCUCCAUUAUUCACUUAAUAAGGUCACUCCCCCAUUACGAAAAGGUACACUCAACACUGAAUAUACAGUUCUCUGCGCCAUUUCUUUACUUUAUCGCCUUGGUCUGAUUCGCAUACCAGAGGGGUUUUGAGCAGCCUUAUCCCGGUCGUUUUACUUUUAUUUCAUGCUGUGCAGGUCACCCAUCUUGUUGUCGAGGUCUAGUGCCAAGGCAAAGGAGCAAUAUUUACUGUUGGAUUGCUCGCUCAGAUUUUUACCACAACAAAAACAACUCCUCUAUGAAUGAUUAAUACUACUCUAUUGCGUGUGGGUGGAGUGAGUACAAAUUCAUUGUAGCUAUAAGUUGAUACUAUGUCAUCAAUAAUACUUGAUAUCACCAUUCAAUAACAAAUUUUUAUAGGAGAUUAGUGAAUUCCACUAUUUUAAUUUAAAUAUUAAUUCUAACUAUUCAAAAGUUAACCGUUGUUCAUGAUAAAAUCUAUUAUACAAUGUAGUGUUGUUAGAUAUGUCACCUAAAGUUAAAAUUAGUAUAUAUUUUAUGUAUAUAUUUCAAAUUGAUUUAUUUUUAUUCAUCUCUCGAAAAUUAAAAUUAUGCUCUAAUCCCUUUUUAAGUAGGGACCACCCUUUAAAAACAUGACAAAACUCUUGCAGAAGGUCCGACCUUCUCAUAAGAUAAGAUAUAGAGUCAUUCCUUUCAAUACUGACCACUCAAAAGGCGUCGAAUUUGUAACCACAAGGGGAAAUCAGCUUUUAGAUAAUGGCUGACAAUUUUGUUGAAAAAUAUCAAUUUUGUAUUAUCGUAAAAGUUGAUAAAUUUAUUCGCUGUAACAAUAAAAUUAUGAAAUAAAGUUGAAGAAUUCUAGUAUUUGUAGCAAAAGCUUCCUGUGAAUUUGUCCAUUUUACCUGGCAUUCACUUUGUUUAAUGAAGACCAAGCU